CAUGUGCUUCGGUGGCGCAGUCGGCAGCGCGUCAGUCUCAUAAUCUGAAGGUCGAGAGUUCGAGCCUCUCCCGGAGCAU
rnacentral:tRNA from 1 species